rnacentral:miRNA from 1 species
CGGGGCCGUGGCGCUGUCUGAGA